rnacentral:rRNA from 1 species
GACGAACGCUGGCGGCGUGCCUAAUACAUGCAAGUAGAACGCUGAAGGAGGAGCUUGCUUCUCUGGAUGAGUUGCGAACGGGUGAGUAACGCGUAGGUAACCUGCCUGGUAGCGGGGGAUAACUAUUGGAAACGAUAGCUAAUACCGCAUAACAGUAGAUAUCGCAUGAUAUCUACUUGAAAGGUGCAAUUGCAUCACUACUAGAAGGACCUGCGUUGUAUUAGCUAGUUGGUGAGGUAACGGCUCACCAAGGCGACGAUACAUAGCCGACCUGGGAGGGGGAUCGGCCACCCUGGGACUGAGACACGGCCCAGACUCCUACGGGAGGCAGCAGUAGGGGAUCUUCGGCAAUAGACGGAAGUCUGACCGAGCAACGCCGCGUGAGUGAAGAAGGUUUUCGGAUCGUAAAGCUCUGUUGUAAGGGAAGAACGAGUGUUAGAGUGGAAAGUUCACACUGUGACGGUAUCUUACCAGAAAGGGACGGCUAACUACGUG